rnacentral:rRNA from 1 species
CGCGUAGGCGGCCUUGUAAGUCCUGUGUGAAAUCCCCUGGCUCAACUAGGGAAUUGCACGGGAGACUGCUUGGCUUGAGUUCGGGAGAGGGAAGCGGAAUUCCGGGUGUAGCGGUGAAAUGCGUAGAUAUCCGGAGGAACACCGGUGGCGAAGGCGGCUUCCUGGACCGACACUGACGCUGAGGCGCGAAAGCUAGGGGGAGAAACG